UUUAAUACUUUUACAAAUUUUUGAUCUUCAUAUAACACAAAGUUGCUUUAAAAGAAUACAUUUAUAAGCUGUGAACAACAUACUUGACAAAAGUGUCCACCUGGACAAAAUGUAUGGCUCCCCCACAGAACUGGACCCAUACUCCAACUGAACCGUAACCCUCUUCCCCCAGGCCUGGCCCUGAGACCAGUCAGGAAUGCUGGUUUUGGUACAGCUCUGUUUCAUUACCAUAACUGGGUUUAAGGGUCUCUAAUGGCAGGAGGGAGAACUUUUAACCCUGUCCUUCAUCAAGGAGAAUGCGGCUCUGACAUGGUGGACUUGCAGAUACAUGUCUUGAUCAGAUAAAGGCGACUGCAGCUCCAUGCUGCCACUUUCAACAUGGGAGACAGUCAGGUUGACUGUGCCCUCCACCCAAUCGGAUGGCGCAUCCUGUGACCUACCAGUCUGACAAGCGUCCUCAUUCUGCAGGCAAG